UGCAAGGAAGCGGCCAUUUGUGAUUGGCUUAAAGCCACGCCAUAUGCCUCCCAACCCCUUUGUUGGGUGCCUUUAUGUUGCUUUUUAUGUAUCUCCAAAUGGAGUAGGGUGUAAUUUUGCCUCUUUUGAAGAGGAGAGCAUCUCUGUGGGUUCGUCUAUACUGUUCAUGGUGCUGUGUUUCUAAGACACCGUGUUUCCAUAGCUGUUCAUGAUUUUACUGCUGUCCAGUCGUCUCAUACACAUACAUCCCAUUUAUAUGUCCAGUGUUUUUCAAAUAGACAAUUAUUUUUAAACAAAAUUUCUACUUUACUGCUUUAUGAUCCUGGAAGCAACACUUGGCCCACCUCUGUAGGGUAUUUACCUAGGAGAGGAAUUGCUGUGUACAAAGUUGUUUGAAACUCCUCUUCAAACUGGCUGUGCCAAUUUAUACUCACAUUAACAGCGCAGGGGGAUUCUCUUGCUUCACACUUUGAACUGCCAGAAUGACAGAGAGCGAAACAGAUCUCAUUGUGGUUGAAUUUGUCUUUAAUGGACACUAACUGAAGACAUUAAAUGCCCCUUCAAAUGGCUAUUGGCUAUUCAUUUUCCCACUUGUUUUUCUUUAUACUUAAGGAAUAGCAGCCAUCAUCACAAUUAUCGGUGAAUAUUGCAUUCUGUGUCCCAGGCAUCCACAGGUCAUACUAUCCCUCGUUAAUUUUAUGAAGACGUUAACUGUAUUUUGGGGGCCUAGAGAGAGAGAGAGAGAGAGAGAGAACAGAAAGGAUGGUUCAUGUCUUAUACAUUCACAUGCUUGCUGGAUUGGUCCAUUGAUAAGUCAAACUCCAGAAAGUUUUAUUUCAGUGUAAGGAACAAUGUAAGAAAAUGGAAACCAAACCUAGAGUGUGUGUAAGUGUGAUAAAGUUGUAAUUUGUGAACGCCUUAAUUAUGAUUGUCUAAAAGUAGUUUAAAAACUCCAGUCUGGCACCGCAACUCGCUUCCUCCCAGAGCCAUAUGGAGAUGGAGAUACCAUCAUGUUGAGAGAGGAGUCCAGCGAUCCAGACGCCCACCGCCGAAUGAGAGGAGCCCGCACCACGGACCGUGCUCCAGCUGAACCCGAGAAACAGAAGGACACGUCUCCAGCCUUACCUGAUGCGCUGUCAUCAAACCAGGCUAGGAUAUCAGGCCAGACCAGAGGUUAGUGAAGUGUAUAUGUAUGUGAAGGAAUGCAAUCCCAUUUUGCUCUUUGUUACUAUUCCUGAAUAAAUAAGUUGUUAGAAUCUG
rnacentral:lncRNA from 1 species